AAGGUCGAGUAGAAUCGAGUAGAGUCGAGUAGAAUCGAGUACAGUCGAGCCGAGCCGGGUCGAGUCAAGUCGAGUCGAGUCGAGACGAGUCGAGUCGAACCAAACCAUGCCGAGCCGAGUCGAACCCAGUGAUAUUGAAGCAAUUUUCUCGAGGCUAGAAAUUAAAUGAUCUGAUUUUUUAUUACAUACAAGAGGAAAAGGGCAAGCGUGUUUGAUUGACGCGUCACAGUUGAGAAAACUCUAACUCGCACGUGUCGCGGGACACUGUGUUCGCCGACGGAAGGUUAGUACUUAAAUGAAGCACAUUGUACUUGUUACUUUGGGAAAUACUGUUUGGAAAUGUUGUUUCAUUAGAUGUUUAAAUUGUGAGGUGAUACUGUUUGCUGAUUACACUCGGAUUCAAAUAUAGAGUAAUGUAUUCGAUUCGUAUGACGGUGCGGAAAAUUGCAUUAUUGCAACGGUAUGUCGUCCAAAAUCGAAAUUUAUUAUUAGACUGCGGAAUAUGUGAAUGUGCAACAGGAAAGGAGUAAAUGCAGUUUCAAAUAGUAAAAGGAUCGAAAGUAUUUGAAAAUGACGAUGCACAAUUUUUAAUCUUUUUGAAACAACCAAGAGCGAAGAACGAUAACAAAGAACGAAGUUGGUUCAUAUUUCUUCAAAAUCGAUGCGGACAAUUUCGAUUUUGCAGAAAAAUCCGCAGUCAAUUUUUUCAGAACAAGAGACCGUGUAAUAACAGCGAAAGCACUAAAACCUUUCAUUUGUUUUUACGACCAGGAAUCCCUGGAUCGAUGGAAUAAAUUGCCCGCUAAAUGCAAGAGAGACAAAAGAUUCGUUUCUGUGCUAAAUCUCAACUUUCCAGUCCUUCUUACCAUUGAACUUUUUAACUUCUUGAACUUCCGACGGCAGCUGGAUUUUAGAAUGAUUUCGUUCAAAAUACGUUUCCAUUCGAGACCAAAAAUUACAGUUACUGUCAAACAUUUGACGGGGAAAUAUCAUCGAUAGAAAAUUAAUUUUCGUUCACAGAAAGGGGGUAAGUCAUUCGUUAAACUUUAAACGAAAUUUUGAAAAAGUAACGCAAUUGUUAGAAAUAAGUAACUUUUACGUGUCGUGGUUACCAAUAACAAUUGCAAAACUAAUAGAAAUAUAAUAAUAAUUAUAAUAAUUAAUAUAAUAAUUACUGAUAACUAGAAAUAUAUAUGUAUAUCGGUUAUGAAUAAUUAUCAUCAUCGACGAUCAGAAUAUUAUAUUUAUACAGAAUGUUACAUUUAAAAAUACUACAAAAGAUAGUCGAAGUAAACGAAAAAUUAUAAUGUUUACCGGAUGAACAAAAUUCAUACGUUGAUCUUUUAUACAAAUUUUUCUGUACUUGACUUCUGUAGUGACUUGAGAUAAUUUAUGUUCCAUUAGUAUUGUCCUUUUGUAAUCUCGAAUGACCUUCAUUUAUAGGUCAUUGUACUCGGAAGGCUCUAUCGAAAUAUAAAUAAAAAACAAUAUCAUCCCAUUU